CAGGAGGCAGAGAGAACCUCUUUCAUCCACACAAAGCCCAAUUCAAGACAUUUCGUUUGUUUGCUUCCAGGCUUCGGGAUCCGUGAGCACUGAGGGAGGACGAAAUGGACCACAAGCCUGGAAUCCGAAAGCCGAGAUAGACACAUGCCACGCUGGACCACAUCCCAUGUUGAGAAAUCCCACAUGCAGGCGUGGAAGUGCGCCGGAGUCCUUCAGCUCCUCGAUAUCAUCCAUCACUAUCACUUCCAGGAAGGUCACGCACACAAACUCCAGGCCUCUGAGUCCAGCGAUGAAUAGCCUCGCCGAUGGACACAGAAAAGCUUUAGUGGUCAAAGUCACUGAACAGAGGACGAAAAGCACUUCCAGUCUGCCCAUCGCCUCGACCUCUGGCUCUGAUCAUGAAGAGAUGGACCAUGGUGUGGUCCUGAGAAGAAAGGCAACCAUUGUGAAAAUGACCGAACAGAGAGAGCGUUUCAGUCCAGUGAAAUACAGACACAGCUACACUGAAGGACUCCAUAAUGAAUCUAAAGUCAGUCCCUCACCAUUAAACCAACCGUUAACUAUAUCUCUAGAGCCAGGAGGAAACCAGUGGAGGUCCCAGCACAGAUCUAGCCUAUCUCUCUACCUCAACAACCCAAACGAUAGCAGCGCAGUAGGGGAGAGCAACACCAAAACACACAAGCCACCUCGAAGGCCUCUCAGCUGCGACGCAAGCCUGUUUAACCACACAGAACUUGGCAGUAAUGCAGUUAUACAGCCAGCGUUUCACAACAAGAGCUCUCCUGUUCCCCAGAAGACAAAUAUUGACCUUGUUAGUUCCAGCAGCAGCGAAGCAAGAAGGCGCUGGGCCUCCGGUGGCGAGGAUGGGAGCAAGAGGAAAGAGUGGGAUCGUGAGGAACCUAUUUCAGGAAUCAAUCCUCUCACGCUACUAAAAGCAGCAGAUAACUCGGCUGAUCUGAGCGCAGACGCCGUCCUGGCCCUGAACGCCGCUGCGGUUAUUGCCAACAUAAAGCUGCAGGCCCAGCAGAGACGAACUACAUCCCACACAGCAACAGCAGUGUGUUUAACAAAGGAUAGAGGGCAAAAUGAACACAGAGAGCUCAAAGAAGAGGCUGCUGGUGCUGAUGGAAGGAACAAAACAUGUCCAGCAGAUCAAUGUGUGGAUUUUGUCCCAUUCGAGUCCCAAAAUGACCUUUCUGAAACUGCUUUGGCUCCACUGUCACUUAGUGAGGCUUUAGUGAUCAGACGGCCCGAUUUCAUCCAGCGCUCACAGGCCAGGGUUCGAGCGCUCGAGAGGAGGUCGCAGGAGAGGCAGAACUCCCACAGCUCACCGCAGACAGUCGAGAGCGGAGGAAGCCUUGUGAAAUCCAAAGACAGAAGCAUCAUGGGAAAGAGUCUACAGCUGCGGUCCAGGAGCCACAGAGUUUUGCCGGCCUGAUUGUGCUUUUCACAGCUUAUUUGUUUUGUUGCUGCUGAAUGAAACAUCAUCCGAUUAGAUCUGGUCUCACUGUGCUUCCGAAUUAAAGCUCCCCGAUGCACGGCUGGAUGGAUUCUGCACGAAUGAGUGCCUGUGUUCAUAAGUUUGAUUUAAACCGCCAAUGACUGAAAAACAAAGCCAGUUAUGUCAGAUAACUGUGUAAAUAUUCAAUGUUUGUUUCUUAAAGGGGUCAUAUGAUGCUGCUAAAAAAAUAUUAUGUUGUGUAUUUGGUGUAAUGAAAUGUGUUAAUGCAGUUUAAGG
ensembl:lncRNA